rnacentral:rRNA from 1 species
ACGACUCUCGGCAACGGAUAUCUCGGCUCUCGCAUCGAUGAAGAACGUAGCGAAAUGCGAUACUUGGUGUGAAUUGCAGAAUCCCGUGAACCAUCGAGUCUUUGAACGCAAGUUGCGCCUGAAGCCGUCAGGCUGAGGGCACGUCUGCCUGGGCGUCACGC